CAUAUACUCCCUCCGUUCCGAAUUACUUGUCGCGGGUAUGGAUGUAUCUAGAUGUAUUUUAGUUCUAGAUACAUCCAUUUCUGUGAUGAGUAAUUUGGAACGGAGGGAGUAUACA
rnacentral:pre_miRNA from 1 species